AUUGAACGCUGGCGGCAUGCCUUACACAUGCAAGUCGAACGGCAGCACGGGUGCUUGCACCUGGUGGCGUGUGGCGAACGGGUGAGUAAUACAUCGGAACGUACCUUAUCGUGGGGGAUAGCGCAGCGAAAGCUGUGCUAAUACCGCAUACGCCCUGAGGGGGAAAGCGGGGGAUCGAAAGACCUCGCGCGAUUAGAGCGGCCGAUGCCUGAUUAGCUUGUUGGUGGGGUAAAAGCCCACCAAGGCGACGAUCAGUAGCUGGUCUGAGAGGACGAUCAGCCACACUGGGACUGAGACACGGCCCAGACGCCUACGGGAGGCAGCAGUGGGGAAUUUUGGACAAUGGGGGCAACCCUGAUCCAGCAAUGCCGCGUGAGUGAAGAAGGCCUUCGGGUUGUAAAGCCCUUUUGUCAGGGAAGAAACACCGGCUCUAACACAGUCCGGGAAUGACGGUACCUGAAGAAUAAGCACCGGCUAACUACGUGCCAGCCGCCGCCGUAA
rnacentral:rRNA from 1 species